rnacentral:tRNA from 1 species
GCCCUGGUGGCACAACGGUUAAAUGCUUGGCUGCUCACCAAAAGGUUGGUGGUUCGAAUCCACCCAGUGGCU